AUUGAACGCUGGCGGCAUGCCUUACACAUGCAAGUCGAACGGUAACAGGUCUUCGGAUGCUGACGAGUGGCGCACGGGUGAGUAAUACAUCGGAACGUGCCCGAUUGUGGGGGAUAACGGAGCGAAAGCUUUGCUAAUACCGCAUACGAUCUACGGAUGAAAGCAGGGGACCGCAAGGCCUUGCGCGGACGGAGCGGCCGAUGGCAGAUUAGGUAGUUGGUGGGAUAAAAGCUUACCAAGCCGACGAUCUGUAGCUGGUCUGAGAGGACGACCAGCCACACUGGGACUGAGACACGGCCCAGACUCCUACGGGAGGCAGCAGUGGGGAAUUUUGGACAAUGGGCGAAAGCCUGAUCCAGCCAUGCCGCGUGCAGGAUGAAGGCCUUCGGGUUGUAAACUGCUUUUGUACGGAACGAAAAGACUCUUUCUAAUAAAGAGGGUCCUUGACGGUACCGUAAGAAUAAGCACCGGCUAACUACGUG
rnacentral:rRNA from 1 species